rnacentral:rRNA from 1 species
GUAGGGUGCAAGCGUUAAUCGGAAUUACUGGGCGUAAAGCGUGCGCAGGCGGUCGCGCAAGACAGAUGUGAAAUCCCCGGGCUUAACCUGAGAAUCGCAUUUGUGACUGCACGGCUGGAGUGCGGCAGAGGGGGAUGGAAUUCCGCGUGUAGCAGUGAAAUGCGUAGAUAUGCGGAGGAACACCGAUGGCGAAGGCAAUCCCCUGGGCCUGCACUGACGCUCAUGCACGAAAGCGUGGGGAGCAAACAGGAUUAGAUACCCUGGUAGUCCACGCCCUAAACGAUGUCAACUGGUUGUUGGACGGCUUGCUGUUCAGUAACGAAGCUAACGCGUGAAGUUGACCGCCUGGGGAGUACGGCCGCAAGGUUG